rnacentral:tRNA from 1 species
GGGCCUAUAGUCUAACGGUACGACGCGUCCAUGGCAUGGACGAAGCCGGGGUUCGACUCCCCGUAGGUCCA